rnacentral:rRNA from 1 species
GAUGAACGCUAGCGGCAGGCUUAAUACAUGCAAGUCGAGGGCAGCAUGGUGGUAGCAAUACCACUGAUGGCGACCGGCAAACGGGUGCGGAACACGUACGCAACUUACCCUUAACUGGGGGAUAGCCCGGGGAAACCCGGAUUAAUACCUCGUAACAUAUUGUGGUGGCAUCACCAUAUUAUUAUAGCUUUAUUGUGGUUAAGGAUGGGCGUGCGGCUGAUUAGGUAGUUGGCAGGGUAACGGCCUACCAAGCCUGCGAUCAGUAACUGGUGUGAGAGCACGACCAGUCACACGGGCACUGAGACACGGGCCC